rnacentral:rRNA from 1 species
UACGUAGGGGGCAAGCGUUGUCCGGAAUCAUUGGGCGUAAAGAGCGUGUAGGCGGCCCGGUAAGUCCGCUGUGAAAGUCCAGGGCUCAACCCUGGGAUGCCGGUGGAUACUGUCGGGCUCGAGUCCGGAAGAGGAGUGUGGAAUUCCUGGUGUAGCGGUGAAUUGCGCAGAUAUCAGGAGGAACACCGAUGGCGAAGGCAGGUCUCUGGGCAUUAACUGACGCUGAGGAGCGAAAGCAUGGGGAGCGAACAGG